rnacentral:lncRNA from 10 species
ACAGCUCUACAACUGCCUGCUUCAUCUGGCCCUCCUACCGGUCCUCCUCCCUUCCCUGGGGCCACAUCUUGGGCUGAGCUGGCCAUACCAUGCUGUGGGCUGGGGGCACCGAGAAACACCAGCUCUUGUCCCCAUCUCCUUCCAAAGAAGAGGAGGGCCUGGGGGUGCAGCACCCCCUCUCUCCCAGUACUCAAAGAGGACCACAGGCAAUUUGGGGAAGGAAGCCAAGAGAGCCUCCAGGCCUCCUUCUCCCCUUGCUUCACUAAAACCUCCCUGUUCUGAGUGGCCUCUUCCCAGGACUCAACGCCAGAAUCAGUCCCAGACCUUCUGGAGAAGACCCUUGGUUUCUAAACCCAGCAAGUGGGACUAGCUAAGUCUCAGGAAUCCCCAUUCUAGCCCCCUUCCUGUGUGACCUUGGGCUAGUGCCUACCCCUCUCUGGGCUUCAGCAUCCUCAUGUGUGACAUGAGGAGUUGGAUUUCAGGGGAAGCAGGCUGGUUUCCCCCCAUAUGCAGCUCCACUUGGUGAUGGCUGCCUAGGGCUCUGUGUUGAGAAGGACUCUGAGCCUGGGCUCUGCAGGAAAGGAUGCAGGAUGGAGCAGCCCGGUGUGCCCUGGGCGGGAAGGGGUUGGCCUCAGCACAAACACCUGGCCUUUGCCAUCUCUGGAUUAGACCAAGUGCCCCUCUUGUCCUGAAGUUGUGUGGAGUGGGGUGCAGAUGUGUGGGGUGGGUGCACCAGAUGUGUGCGGUGGGGCACAGCAGGGCUAGGCUUGACUCCAAACCCCUGCCUUUAUCGGCACAAGGCAGGUCUUGCCUGACCUGUGGGAAUGAUUGCCCAGGUAGAGGGGUGCACAGUUUGCCCUUUAUGCAGAGCCUUUUCCUGACAGGAAAUUCUCCUUUUCAUCCUACUGCAAAGCACACUGCUGUAUUUUACACACAGCAGUAACAUUUUUUUUUUUUGAGACAGGGUCUCACUCUGCCACCCAGGUUGGAGUGCAGUGGCGCAAUCACAGCUCGCUGCAGCCUCAACCUCCUGGUCUCAAGUGAUCUUCCCACCUCAGCCUCCUGAGUAGGUGGGACCACAGGUGCAUGCCACCAUGCCUGGCUAAUGUAUUUUUUGUAGAGACGGGUUUUCGCCAUGUUACCCAGGCUGUUUUCGAAUUCCUAGGCUCAAAUGAUCCUCCCACUUCUGCCUUCCAAAGUACUAGGAUUAUAGGUGUUAGCCACCAUGCCCAGCCUUUUUUGUUGUUGUUGUUGAGACA